rnacentral:piRNA from 1 species
UGGUAGCUCCCUGCUGAUGUCCUC